rnacentral:misc_RNA from 1 species
GAUGAAGAACGCAGCGAAAUGCGAUACGUAAUGUGAAUUGCAGAAUUCAGUGAAUCAUCGAAUCUUUGAACGCAUAUUGCGCUCUUUGGUAUUCCGAAGAGCAUGCUUGUUUGAGUAUCAGUAAACACCUCAACCUCUUCUUGAUUUUUCAAAAGGAGGGUGGACUUGAGCUAUCCCAACAACCUUUACCGGUCGGCGGGCGGCUUGAAAUGCAGGUGCAGCUGGACUUUUAUCUGAGCUAAAAGCAUAUCUAUUUAGUCCUCGUCAAACAGGAUUAUUACUUUUGCUGCAGCUAACAUAAAGGAUAAUUGUCCUCUUUGCUGACUGAUGCAGGAUUUUACGACACUUUAUGUGUUGUUCAACUCGAUCUCAAAUCAAGUAAGACUACCCGCUGAACUUAAGCAUAUCAAUAAGCGGAAGA